rnacentral:rRNA from 1 species
UACAGAGGGUGCAAGCGUUAAUCGGAAUUACUGGGCGUAAAGCGUGCGUAGACGGUUAUGUAAGUCAGAUGUGAAAGCCCAGGGCUCAACCUUGGAAUUGCAUUUGAGACUGCAUAGCUAGGGUGCGGAAGAGGGAAGCGGAAUUUCCGGUGUAGCGGUGAAAUGCGUAGAUAUCGGGAGGAACACCAGUGGCGAAGGCGGCGACCUGGGCCAAUAUUGACGCUGAGGUGCGAAAGCGUGGGGAGCAAACAGG